AAAACUUUCAACAAUGGAUCUCUUGGUUCCGGCAUCGAUGAAGAACGCAGCGAAAUGCGAUAACUAAUGUGAAUUGCAGAAUUCAGUGAAUCAUCGAGUCUUUGAACGCACAUUGCGCCCCCUGGUAUUCCGGGGGGCAUGCCUGUCCGAGCGUCAUU
rnacentral:rRNA from 5 species